AAUCAACGCUGGCGGCGUGCCUCAGACAUGCAAGUCGAACGAUUAAAGCUCCCUUCGGGGAGUGCAUAAAGUGGCGCACGGGUGAGUAACACGUAAGUAAUCUACCCUCGAGUGGGGAAUAACGUCCGGAAACGGACGCUAAUACCGCAUAAUGCAGCGGCACCGCAAGGUGACAGUUGUUAAAGAUUUAUCGCUUGAGGAGGAGCUUGCGGCAGAUUAGCUAGUUGGUAAGGUAAUGGCUUACCAAGGCUACGAUCUGUAACCGGUCUUAGAGGACGGUCGGUCACACUGACACUGAAUAACGGGUCAGACUCCUACGGGAGGCAGCAGUCGGGAAUGUUGGGCAAUGGGCGAAAGCCUGACCCAGCAACGCCGCGAGAAGGAUGAAGUAUUUCGGUAUGUAAACUUCGAAAGAAUGGGAAGAAUAAAUGACGGUACCAUUUAUAAGGUCCGGCUAACUACGUGCCAGCAGCCGCCGUAAUAC
rnacentral:rRNA from 1 species